UCCGGUUUACACCGGCAGUCCCUCCAGAGUCCCCGGCAUGACCCGCUGGCAACUGGAGGCAAGGGUUUCGCUCGUUAGGGGACUUAACCCAACAUCUCACGACACGAGCUGACGACAGCCAUGCAGCACCUGUGUCGGGUUCCGGGCUGGGUACCGUUGGGAGCCCGUUUCCGGGCCCUACUUCCCGACGCUUUCGCACAUGUCAAGCCCAGGAUAAGGUUCUUCGCGUAGCCUCGAAUUAAGCCACAUGCUCCACCGCUUGUGUGAGCCCCCGUCAAUUCCUUUGAGUUUCAGCCUUGCGGCCAUACUCCCCAGGCGGGGUACUUAACACUUUUGCUCCGGCAGCGCGCCCAUGCCGGGCCCGCUACCUAGUACCCAUCGUUUAGGGCCAGGACUA
rnacentral:misc_RNA from 1 species